rnacentral:rRNA from 1 species
CAGUAGGGUGCCAUCAA